rnacentral:ncRNA from 1 species
UAAACGGCGAUGAAGAGGACAGUAGGUAACUUCCCGAGGUUACAGAGAGUCGGGCAAGGUGAGAGCCGAUACCGAGGGAUUUACCGAAAAUCACCUCCGAGCUGCCGGGGUGAAACUGAGUAGCUCCGGUCGGGGCCCUUUUGUAGGGAAUAGGCACCCGUUAAAGUGCCGGGUAUCGGACCGUGAGGUCCCGUACCUGCCGAGGUCCGCACCGUGAGGUGCGGAUGAAGAGGGUGGUACCGCGAAGGCCCUUCGCCCCUUAU